UACGUAGGGUGCGAGCGUUGUCCGGAAUUAUUGGGCGUAAAGAGCUCGUAGGCGGUCUGUCGCGUCGAUCGUGAAAACUUGGGGCUUAACCCUGAGCUUGCGGUCGAUACGGGCAUGACUGGAGUUCGGCAGGGGAGACUGGAAUUCCUGGUGUAGCGGUGAAAUGCGCAGAUAUCAGGAGGAACACCGGUGGCGAAGGCGGGUUGCUGGGCCGACACUGACGCUGAUGCGCGAAAGCCAGGGGAGCGAACGGG
rnacentral:rRNA from 1 species